GCUUUUCGAGGAGGCAGCACGUCACGUUGAUCAUUUGCUCCACUGCGUUGCGCAUCGUCGCGGGCGUCGAAGGCUCCAACGGGGAGUGCGGCAACAGCGAGAGGAAGAGCGCAAACAAGCAGACGCUGUCGAUGCUGCUGUUCGUGAUUGCGUACGUGAAGAAAGGGUCAGGGAGCAGCGACAACAGCGGCCUGCACAAACACGCGCAAGGUACAACACAACCAAAAAAACCACCUGGGGGGGGGGGGGGGUGGGGGUGGCUGCUCCUGAGGGGAAGCGCUCUGUAAUCACAUUUCCGACUCGGGAAACGCACAAACGAGACGACCAGGGGAAGAAACGCGGACCCGCCGCUCGCCGCAGGCCUGGCCCGAAGCAGAACCUGACCGGCCCCUCGCACUACGCUCGACGACGCACACGCACAUGCCAGGAAUAGAUGGAGAAACCGGGAACCACCGACAGGACGGAGAACGGUGAGAACAGGAAUGAGACGAAGGAAGAUUGUGGAAGCGGGGACGAACGUCCUCCCGCUCGGAACACAACGCGGCACUUUCUCGCUGCCCGAAAAGAGAGACACAAAGGACACUAUUCCCCGGGAACGUCUGCCCUCAAAAAGAGACGAGACGUGUGAGCACGUUGUGUGCACGAUUCAAGACAGAGAGAAACCCUGUCCACUCUGGAACGGGCGACGAGAAAAGGGAGGGAAAAGCAAAACGAAGCGAAGAAAGCAAGACGAAGAAAGCAAAACGAAGGAAGCACGAAGAUCUUGCUCACCUUCGGAUCAUCUCAAAGUCGCCGAUGCCUCCAUUGUGCAUGAAGAGAAACCGCCCGCAGCGGAAAGGGUGGCAGCAAAGCUCAGUACUGACGCUGCUGCUGCACGUGGCCCAGAGAGGCAAACCGCCGUUGUCUGAGUGGUCGCCCGCGCUGAUGGCCUUCGCCGCAGCGCCGGCGCAGCUUCCGCUCAAGUUUGUGCUCGCGGCUCUGACGUGAGCAAAUAUGAGUCGACUGGCAAUCUGGAACAGCGCACACAAGGAACCACAGAGGUAGGAAGAGGAGACAGAGGAGACGGUGACGCCACGCAAGCGACCGCGCAGAAAAGGCCCCAACGAAAAACAUCCAAGCGGUCUGCCUCUCUCACAGUCGCCACAUACAACGCAAAAACCCUCAACGAGAGAAGACGCAGAAAAGAGACACGAGACUGUGGAGAGCGCGCAUGUGUUUUAGGCGCAGGCGCGACGAGGACGCGAACCUACAGAGAAGUCUUCAAAGGGUUCAGGAGGGAAUGGGGCGCUAACGGAGCAAGAAAGGAGUCCGGAGAGAAAAAGAGACCACGCAACGCUGUAGAGAACAGCGCGUAGGUUGAGACUUCAAGAUCGAGUUUUGCCUCGUUGGAAACUCACCUUCUCCGCGAGAAUGAAGAGGUUGCGAUCUGCCCAUGCAGGCUUCAGAGAAGUGAAGACGCAGGGCUCUGCAUCCGCAAGCGACGCAGGAGAGUGGUGAGGGUGGGGUUCGCCUCCCCGAUCUCUCUUUCCAUUUCGCUCCACGCUCCUGUCGUCGUUCAAACAGGCUGAGUUCGCGGAAGCCGGGAAGUUGGUCUCUCGCGAGCAGUCCUCGUAGGCCUGCGAGUCGAAACACGACUCCUCGUCGUCGUAGGCAACAGGAGGGGCAUAAGAAGACGGGGAGGAGUACCACCCCACUCCGAAGCCGUCGCCAUUGAGGGAAGCUUGAUGAUAGGCUUGGCGGAUAGUACGGUGAGGAAGGCGUUCCUGAGGGGGAACGGAAAAACGAAGAAACGGUGAAUGGAAAGCCGGAAGGAGAAACGAGACAAGGAAACGAAAAAGGCACGAGAGAAACUCAGACGCGGAAAGGCGAAAGGGAGAGAGGAGCUGAGACCGAAGAAGGGAGCCAGCGAGGCAGAGACGCGAACCCCUGAGGUGAACGAGGGACUGGAGAAACCGAGAGAGAGAACAGCAGGAAAGGCAGAAAGAUGGGAGAAAGAGAUGCCGACGAGAUGGGAAGAGAGACCCACAGAGGGCAGACGGCAAGCAAAAGAAAUGUUUGGAAUAGCUACCUUGCAGUUGAAGGACUGGUGAAUAAUGCCCAUUCGAGGACGCGUCAAAAUAUCCGCCAGAAGCAGCGGCUGGCCGCUGGUGAUCACGCACGUCAGUCGGCACAUCGUUGGAUAAAACAGACGAAAAACUGGAAGUGUCUCCGUCCAGACGGCUCUCUUAUCCGCUGUGGGCGGCGUCUCCCUACAGAAACGAAGCUUGGUUCAUCGUUUCCUUCCACAUUGUCUCAAGGGCCGUUCCAAAAAGAAACGCAUGCUCGGCUGAGCCUGAACUCCUACAGUCCGGUCCCACCACCGCCCAACCCGUUCGUCUGCUUCUUCCCCAGUCGUUUCGUCUCCCCAGCGCUUUGGGUUUUGCUUCCUUCGCCUGCAAGGGGAAACUGUGAGUCGGAAGCGUUGCUUUUGCGCAGGAGGAGUCGGCUUGGGGAAGAAAAUCACCGAGACGCGGCUCCCCGUGGAUGGCGCGCAGCGGCUCGUACGCCGCUGUCUCCGGCAGUCCAAAAAAGGGGAGAAAGUGGAAUGCGCACGAAUAGAUUUUUUGUCGAGAAGGCUCUGAAAACACGUUUUCUUGCGAGGAGGCGCGCUCUUGCAAAAGAUCGGUUGCGCCGCAUGCGCAAAGCGUCAACGGUCCGAAGAAACUCGGAGCGACCCGGACUUGCCCACUCGCUUCUACUCACGGAAAAAGGAAAGAUACAGUGAAGAGAUACGAGGAAAAAACGCCAAUGACACUUGACGCAAGAAAAGAAGCCGGACUGCGAAACUGACGGAGACGCCCCGUCCCCCCCGGCGCGGAGUUUAGGCGGGAGCACGUGGACCGAAGAACUCUCGGCUGGACCCACCACCGGGAAACCAUAAAAAAUCAAAGAUGACAGCAGUCGACAAACUCACAGGAGAAAAAUGUGAAACGGGGAGAAGACGGGAAAUGGCAGGGAAGACGAUAAACUCGGAGGACCGACACGGGAAGAACCCGAAGAACGCGUGGGCAAAGUCACCAGUACAGAUUCGCCGAUUCAGGCUCAAGGUUGCCGGCAGCCUGAUCUUGUAGGAGGCUCAUACCGGACUCGGUCAAACCCUAGUCAACGAGGUUGCCUUCCUCGUUAACUUUUCCAAUUUCCCGUUUUGAAAAAAAUGGCACUCUCUCCGCUUAAGCAAGCUCCUUCUCAGUGUUCCGUGACCGAGAACGGCUCAAGUGUCUUGCUGCUUGAGGAAAUACGCGCCUCGCUUGUUUCUCGAGACAGCCUGUCGCCCCCCCUGGCGUGCUGCUGCGGCGUUCACCGGAGAAAUGUGGCAGGCAGAUUCGAAGCGUCUGUCCUCUGUGCGAAGACGAGAUGGAAUUAGAUAUGAAGGCAACAGAAGGAGAAGAGACGUGUGCGUUGUCUGUGGUCACUUGUUGACCUGAAGAGCUGGAACACUCAUGCAAGCAGACCGACGAGCGGAUUCGUUGACGAACCAGUAACACCGGAGAAUGUUGAUUUCUCGGCAGAUAGAGACUACCCAGAAGAUGAGGGGAGGUUGUGUUUUCGCGGCGGGCAAGGCAAAAAAGCAUCCUUAAAUUGCCGAAAUAAAGACAUAGGAAAAGUGAAGAGGCUCUAGAGGACCGCAAGAAGUUUUAAGGAUCGAGCAAGGCCGCAGGGUAGUCGGCGUAGUUGCUGAUCGUCUCCACAAUCUUGUCCGUUGACCGGUGCCGGAACGGCAACGCGACCGGCCCUCGGCAUUUUCGAAAAGCAAGAAGAGACGUGUUUGAUGAGCGACCAAGUACUCGGUAGUUGUCGUCGUUUCAGAGGGAGUCAUGAAUUAUAAUGGUCGUGCCUGUCCUGAAUACUGCCGUGAAGCUCCUUUGUGCGACGGCCUGGAGUGGUGACCGGUGGGGAACUAUGUAACUUUUUGCCUGGAUGAGUUAACUGGGGUAUCGAAAUCGUGCGUUUGACUCACCUCUAUUCACGUGGCAAUUGGUUCCCAAAGGUAUGGGACAUCGAAGUCGGAACACUCACCGAAGUGGUUACCGCUUGGUCAACAGGCUCUGUUGCGCCUCUAUCGAAGAAAUGCAGAAGACGGGAUCAAAGUUUCACGCAUGUAUCGUUCAGAGCUGCUUUUAGCUGUUAUGCAGUACUAGCGAGUAAAGUAUAGAGGACGCAUCCCGUGGUUUCAUCGGGGGUUAUCGCACGCGCACCGCUCCCGCUGCAGCCCCCAUCUCGAGGUGACGCUCACAGUGUUAUGGGAAGCUUCGUCAAGAUUUGUGUUUUUAAAACCGUAAUUGGUCUGCCGAUUAAAUGAACUAGCCAAAAAAAAGGUGGUGAGUGACUGCACCGUAUGCCUGGCGAUGUCAUCUUUCACUCAAAAGUCACAAGCACACACCACAUCUAAUUGGUAGUAGAGCUAAUCGCGUGCCCGUCUAC
rnacentral:lncRNA from 1 species